GAUGAACGCUGGCGGCGUGCCUAAUACAUGCAAGUCGAGCGAACGGACGAGAAGCUUGCUUCUCUGAUGUUAGCGGCGGACGGGUGAGUAACACGUGGAUAACCUACCUAUAAGACUGGGAUAACUUCGGGAAACCGGAGCUAAUACCGGAUGAUAUUUUGAACCGCAUGGUUCAAAAGUGAAAGACGGUCUUGCUGUCACUUAUAGAUGGAUCCGCGCUGCAUUAGCUAGUUGGUAAGGUAACGGCUUACCAAGGCAACGAGGCAUAGCCGACCUGAGAGGGUGAUCGGCCACACUGGAACUGAGACACGGUCCAGACUCCUACGGGAGGCAGCAGUAGGGAAUCUUCCGCAAUGGGCGAAAGCCUGACGGAGCAACGCCGCGUGAGUGAUGAAGGUCUUCGGAUCGUAAAACUCUGUUAUUAGGGAAGAACAUAUGUGUAAGUAACUGUGCACAUCUUGACGGUACCUAAUCAGAAAGCCACGGCUAACUACGUG
rnacentral:rRNA from 1 species